rnacentral:lncRNA from 1 species
CCUAGCCCCUGGGGGGACAGAACAGGCACAUGACAAUUUUAGCAACCCAAAAAGAAACCCAAGAAACACGGCUCUUGCUGUGCCCCGGCCAACGCUGAGCUUGGCCUUAUGGGCAGUCUCCCAUGGCCUUUUAUUCUCCUGACCCCGUGAGGUGUGCACAGUGUUGUUCCUUGUUUUCCAGGUGAGGAGCCAAGGCCCAGAGCCACAUCCAUGAUCCUAGCGGCAGACGUGCACGGCGCUCCCAUAGGGGCCUCAAUGCACUCCCCAGGUGGCGUUACCCCUCUGUCCCUCUCCUCUGACCGAAGCUGGUCACCUCACUUCCAGCCCUCGUCAGCUCUCCCUGAUCCCCAUUCUUCAGCGGGUCUAGACUUUGUUCCCAUGCCCAGAAUUCCACCUCCAGGCAUACAGGGGCCUGGUGGGACUCCAGAUGGUGGCCAGCCAUGGGACCAAAGAGGACACCCCCCCCAGUGACAGGAGCAGAAGGGCUGGAGGCAGGAAACCCCUUACCGGUAAGACUUACCUGCAAGUCUCUGCUUCGUGUCCCACAAGAUGGGGGGUGUGGGGUGGAAUCCCUUCCUGGGAGGCUGAAAUGAGAGGACGUGUGUCUAGAACAGAGCCCGCACGAGGAGUUUCCUCUUCCUUCUCUGGGCUGGCCUGUGAGCUCCCGGGAGGCAAGUAAACCGCCCGGUGCAGCCCACGGAGCGGAUGGAUCCAUGACCGAAUCAACACGCUGUACUCGUUGCCCAGCAGCUUGUGUUUCUGGGUUUUGGACUCACACAGAGCACACAGGCCAGAAGUUCCACUUACCUCCUGUUGGAAGGUUUGCGGGCCUCAGGGCCUGGUGGCGGGGGAGGAACAAAUGGCCCCUGAGGGCCUGUGCAGCCCUGACCUUCCCAGGGCCUAGAUAGGUGUAUCCAGGCGUCCCCCCGCUAAUGCUGUGUUGAGGCUGGGGACUCUGAGGGGGACCCUAUUUGGGUCCCCGGUGGGCUGUGUUGUCCACGUGCCCGCUAGCCUGUUCUAGAGAGGGCCUCAGCCUCAUGCCUUCCUAGAGACCCUUGGAGUUUAGCAGAGAGUGGUAACCCAGUGCUGCGUAAAGAGCCCAUCCCCGCCCAGCCCCGGUCAGACUCCACGGGGAGGGCAGAGGCCUCUCACUGUUGCAGGAGAGGAAAGUGUCACGUCCCGGGACCCGCAGGAGUCCUUAGAACAGACCACCGCCAAGUGAGGGUCCUUGCUUCUUCGCAGGAGAGAAUUCAGGAUGGAGCCAGAGAAAAGCGGAGGUAAGUUUAUUUAGCGCAAUGCACUUACUCCAUAGUCAGAAUGCUGA